CCUACGGGGGGCAGCAGUGGGGAAUAUUGGACAAUGGGGGGAACCCUGAUCCAGCGACGCCGCGUGAGUGAAGAAGUAUUUCGGUAUGUAAAGCUCUAUCAGCAGGGAAGAAAGAAAUGACGGUACCUGACUAAGAAGCCCCGGCUAACUACGUGCCAGCAGCCGCGGUAAUACGUAGGGGGCAAGCGUUAUCCGGAUUUACUGGGUGUAAAGGGGGCGUAGACGGCGAUGCAAGUCUGAAGUGAAAGGCGGGGGCCCAACCUCCGGACUGCUUUGGAAACUGUAUGGCUGGAGUGCAGGAGAGGUAAGUGGAAUUCCUAGUGUAGCGGUGAAAUGCGUAGAUAUUAGGAGGAACACCAGUGGCGAAGGCGGCUUACUGGACUGUAACUGACGUUGAGGCUCGAAAGCGUGGGGAGCAAACAGGAUUAGAUACCCUUGUAGUC
rnacentral:rRNA from 1 species